GCCCGAAACCAGAACCGGAGGCUUGCCGUGACCAGUUUCAACCCGGAAAGUUUAGGUAGACCUCCCAGUCUCCCGACUUCCGCUUGCGUUUUAGAGCUCCGCCUGGCUGCCUUCACUAUGGAAGAACCAGAGAUGCUCCUGAAGGGAAAGAAAGUAACAGACAAGUUCACCGAAAGUGUCUAUGUCCUGGCCAACGAGCCGUCAGUGGCCCUGUACCGGCUACAGGAACAUGUGCGCCGCUCACUGCCCGAGCUGGCCCAGCACAAGGCUGACAUGCAGAGAUGGGAGGAGCAGAGCCAGGGUGCUAUAUACACCGUGGAGUAUGCCUGCAGUGCUGUGAAGAGCCUGGUGGACAGCAGUGUGUACUUCCGUAGUGUCGAAGGCCUGCUCAAACAGGCCAUCAGUAUCCGGGACCACAUGAACAACAGCGCCCAGGGCCACAGCCAGGAGAAACCAUCCCCUCCUACUGUGGCCUGACCCUGACAAUGCAAAACUCUCAGGGCCACCAGCUGCCCACCCAGGCAGAGACCUGGCUCCUAUGCCCCCAACCACUCAGCUGCUGUGUGACCUUGAGGCUGCAUCCUUACUUCUCUGUAAACAUGGCUUAUUAGGCUGAGGCCAUGUGGAGAUGGGCAGUUUUUCACUUGAGGAGCAUCUGGAAGGGCUCCCAGGUGUGUGCACUGAUCCUGUCGGCACUGGUGCACGCCUGGGCACCCGAGUCAUGUGUCUUCUGCUCUGCUCACCUCGUGGCAUCCUGGGCUCUGGAUCCCAACUUCAUCUCUUCAGACUUCUUCACCUCCCUGGGAUCCUCAGCCCUCUGAGUUCCAAAGCCUCUCCUGGGUUACCAGUGGCCUUCGUGGGUUCAGAUCCUCACAGCCUGUCCAGACCCAAGAUCCUCAGCACAAUCUCUUAUACAAGAGGAAACUGGCUUGGUGGUGGGAUAGCCCGCCCCAAGCACUUGCCCCCACUCGAACCCUGAUGGGUUCGAUGGGUUCGAGUCCUGGUCUUCCCACCCUUAGCUCCCCCACCCCCUUUCCAGUCCUUGCAGAAGCAGACCCCUGGACAUCACACUGAGAACUCAACAGGAACUCCUGGCUCAGCCGUAAUUGCUCCCCUUGGCCAUGAACCAGGCUCACUAUUCCAGUCGCACCCUAGGGCAGUCUUGGUGCGCAUACAUGAAUGUUCAGGAGUUGUUCUUCCAUGCUGGGGUCACAUAGCUGAAGACCAGACCCUGACCCUGCUUCUGACAAGUGAUGCAGGACUGGGUGCUGGCUUCUCUGAGAUCGAGGAACACAUCUCCCUGUCUAAUCUCUUAGGAGCCACUGGAUAACUGUCUCCCACCUCCAUCCAGGGCAGGACCUGAGUCCCUGGCUUGGCCACUAGCUCCCAUCUCCUGGGUCCUGAUGGGGCAGGUUCCAUGUCUGUCCUACAACCAGGCCCUAGGUUCCCCCAAAUCAUAUACACACACCAAACAAGCUAAUAAAAAAAAAAAAAAA